GGAUCCCUUACGUUUUCCCGCCAUAUAGAAAAUGUUAUAGGAGGAAAAACAUUUUCGUUUGUAACUUCGACAAAGUUUUUUUAUUUUAAAAAUUUCGGUUCGUUUUUGGCGUCACCUGCGCAACGCACGUUUGUGGCCCGUCGCUGAAUUGCCCAACACGUACAUUGACACCUGAAUACGUCGACGUCGCCGGCGACGCCAACAACAACAACAGCAACAGCUUCACCAGUGACAGCGACUGUUAACAACGAGCGUUGAUUUUGAGAAACCAUAAAAACCGGUCAGCAAACGCAGAGUGUUUGGUCUUUGAUAAUGACGUUCAAGAAGGAGCCCAAAACAACGACUAUAAAUUGAAAUGUCGAAGGAUUCAUCAAUGUUAUCAGUAUCUGCCAUUGCUUAAUAGCUUGAAAACUUUAUAUUGAAAAAUUAAUUUAUUUAAAUAAACUAAUUUUUUAAUUUUAAAGAUUUUAAAGAA